rnacentral:rRNA from 1 species
GACGAGGAUGCAAGUGUUAUCCGGAAUCACUGGGCGUAAAGCGUCUGUAGGUGGUUUAAAAAGUCACUGUUAAAAAUUGAAGCUUAACUUCAAAGAUGCCGUGAAGUUAAACUUUAACUGAGUAUGGUAGGGGUAGAGGGAAUUUCCAGUGGAGCGGUGAAAUGCGUAGAUAUUGGAAAGACCACCAAUGGCGAAGGCACUCUACUGGGCCAUUACUGACACUGAGAGACGAAAGCUAGGGGAGCGAAUGGG